AAGAAAUAAGAAUUUGCGCUCUCAGUCGAUUUCCAUCAUGAGAGAGUUGAAUAAAGAAGUGAUGAAGACAAAACUGAUGGAGAGAGACAGUUUACAGAUGCUGCAUACAUCAGUGAAGAUGUGUUCAGUGAAGCUGCUGGACUGCAGGAACCUGAUGAAGAUGAGAGUGAAGACUGAAGUGAAGCCGGAGGAGAUAAAAGAAGAAAACACAACC